rnacentral:rRNA from 1 species
ACGUAGGGUGCAAGCGUUAAUCGGAAUUACUGGGCGUAAAGCGUGCGCAGGCGGUUUUGUAAGCCAGAUGUGAAAGCCCCGGGCUCAACCUGGGAACUGCGUUUGGAACUACAAGACUAGAGUGUGUCAGAGGGGGGUGGAAUUCCGCGUGUAGCAGUGAAAUGCGUAGAUAUCUGGAGGAACACCGGUGGCGAAGGCGACAUCCUGGACCGGUAUUGACGCUGAGGCGCGAAAGCCAGGGGAGCAAACGGGA